GACGAACGCUGGCGGCGUGCUUAACACAUGCAAGUCGAACGGAAAGGCCCCUUUGGGGGUACUCGAGUGGCGAACGGGUGAGUAACACGUGAGUAACCUGCCCUUGACUUCGGGAUAACUUCAGGAAACUGGGGCUAAUACCGGAUAGGAAUCCUUGCUGCAUGGUGGGGGUUGGAAAGCUUCGGCGGUUUUGGAUGGACUCACGGCUUAUCGGCUUGUUGGUGGGGUAGUGGCUUACCAAGGCUUUGACGGGUAGCCGGCCUGAGAGGGCGACCGGCCACAUUGGGACUGAGAUACGGCCCAGACUCCUACGGGAGGCAGCAGUGGGGAAUAUUGCACAAUGGGCGGAAGCCUGAUGCAGCAACGCCGCGUGCGGGAUGACGGCCUUCGGGUUGUAAACCGCUUUCAGCAGGGGCGAAGCUUGUGGUGACGGUACCUGCAGAAGAAGCACCGGCUAACUACGUG
rnacentral:rRNA from 1 species